UACGUAGGGUGCGAGCGUUGUCCGGAAUUACUGGGCGUAAAGAGCUCGUAGGUGGUUUGUCGCGUUGUUCGUGAAAACUCACAGCUUAACUGUGGGCGUGCGGGCGAUACGGGCAGACUGGAGUACUGCAGGGGAGACUGGAAUUCCUGGUGUAGCGGUGGAAUGCGCAGAUAUCAGGAGGAACACCGGUGGCGAAGGCGGGUCUCUGGGCCGGUACUGACGCUGAGGAGCGAAAGCGUGGGGAGCAAACAGG
rnacentral:rRNA from 1 species